rnacentral:rRNA from 1 species
ACCUACGGGACGCAGCAGUGGGGAAUAUUGCACAAUGGGGGAAACCCUGAUGCAGCAACGCUGCGUGAGUGAAGAAGUAUUUCGGUAUGUAAAGCUCUAUCAGUAGGGAAGAAGAAAGACGGUACCUGACUAAGAAGCCCCGGCUAACUACGUGCCAGCAGCCGCGGUAAUACGUAGGGGGCAAGCGUUAUCCGGAUUUACUGGGUGUAAAGGGAGCGUAGACGGCGAUGCAAGUCUGAAGUGAAAGGCGGGGGCCCAACCCCCGGACUGCUUUGGAAACUGUAUAGCUGGAGUGCAGGAGAGGG